GGAUACGCCGCGCCGAAGGGUGGGCGGGUGGAGGGAGCUGGCCGAGGGCCAGCCAGCUCAGAAUUAGCUCAUUGUUCUACAGAAUCAGCACAGGCCACCCAAGCCCAACCUAAGGGGGAGGAAGGGGAAGGGGAAAGAGACCGACGAACAGAGACAGUGACAGUAACAGACUCAAGAGGCAGACAGACGUACGCGCGUACACACACGCGUGCACACGCACCCGGGGAGGAGAGAAAGAAAGAGUGGUAGAGAUAGUCCCCCCCCCCCCUUUUUUCUAAGACUGCUCCUCUUCUUGGAAGUAGGGUCAGGUCUCCCCCCCUUCUAUCUCCCUCCCUCCUCCCUUCUUCCUCUUCCCCCUCCCCCACCACUUUCUAGCGUGGUGCCCCUUUUCAUCCACAUUUGUGUUUCAGGUGUAGAGAGGACAGAAAGUGAACAGGGAGCAGGGGCUUUUGUCUAUUGACUUUCCUGGACUAAAGAGAAAACUGGUGCAGUCCCAAAACUGUUAAGAUUCUCAAAAUGGUCUGUCACCCAAAACUGACAGUUUGGAUUGGUCAAGACUCAUUUCCAACUAAUCAAGAGGAUGAAAGAUUUCUCAAGGAAAACCUUCCAGUUCCAAGGGAAGUAAAUCGAAAAAAGCAAGAUGAGAUUGCAGCUACAUCGCUGAUUCUGCUCAGUGGCAGUGAUGGACAAUACUCCACAAGAAUCAAUUACCUCUACUCUUUUUAAUCAUAAUUCCUCCAUUUGUAUUGCAUAUCAUUUAUGGGUAUUGAUGAAGUCAUAGUGUCAUAUAUGGAAAUUGUUUCUGUGUACAAUCAUCAAGUAUAAGAAGAAACUAUGGGACUCUGAGCCUUCCUUUAGAGAAUUACAGUGGACAAAUAUGUAUCAUAAACCAGUUUUUAUCAUUCUGACUUCAGUGAAAACUCAGAAUUUCACACUGUGAAUCCACGUUUAUAAACAUUAGAGGUGGGCCUUUAGGCCUGGUUCUCCUACAACAUUGUCUUCUACUAUUCACCCUUUUACUGCUCAUAUGUAACUGGUAAAUUCUACUUCCCACUCACAUAGCUCCCAACUGCUCCUUGCAGAGGCUGAGAGUCCCCCCCCCUUUUUUUUUCUUUUAGAUGUAACAGGACUAGUAGUUUAUGUUCAUCAAUUGUCUGUAUAUCUAUAUUUUAUCCAUGUACUCUUUUGAUGUAUAGAAGUAGUUUGAAACUCAUUGUUUCCUUGUGGUUAGUGAUUGAGAUGCUGCCACAGGAUUUGAGACACUGAUGAAUGGUGCUAUUUUGGACUUUAAACAUGCUCCUUGGCAAGGUAGCUCUGAUGGAGUUUUUUUUUUUUCCAUGUCUUAAGAAGGUGUUGGUACUUUGUUUUCUUGAAUGUUGUUCUUUAGAUUGGACUGACGUUUUCUUGUGUCUUCAGUGUGGCUUUCUUAUUCAGUGUUGUAGGGUGAGUGAAUAUUACUAAAGCUUGUGAAGCACUGACAUUACAUCAGAGUGUGCUCACAAUGCAGUUGUAGCGGGAGCAACCACAAAACUGUAAUUUCUUUAUAAAUCUCCUUUCUGCACCCUUGCCUGCCUAACUUAAAGAAAAGAGAAGCAAUAAUUUUACAGGAGUUUUAAUGAAACUUCUUUUAAUUACUCUUUUUGUUUGGAAGACAUUUGGGAAAAGGGAUAAGUUUUUAAAUGUCCUCUUUAAAAUCCAUAGGAAUAAGACAAUUAUUCCUUCCCUAAAAAAUUAAAAAGGAGUGUUUCUUUUUUUUUUAAUGGCAGAGCAGAUAUUAGCAAUCUUAACAUGAUAGAGAUUGUACAUUUUUGUUCUUGUUCCCAGUGAAACUGACAAAAAAAGUAAACCAAAUAAUGCCAUCUACUCAUGAAAUGUUAUGUUAUCCAUGGUCUGAAAGCCCACCUUAAUUUUUUAUAUAAUUCUGUCUUUUUAGCUCUUCCUUUGACAGGGCAGGUCUUGCUCUGAACUAUUUAGCUUCUGGCUGUUAAAUACCAAUGCAUGCACUUAUUUCCUUCUCUUCCUUUUCAUAAUUCCCUUGUCUCUUGUCCCUCUCGUUGUUUCACCUUUCUUGUGUGUUUUCCCCCCCACCCUCUUUUUUGUUAGUUUAGGUUAUUCCAGCUGUGCUAUAUAUAGAGGAAGAAACAAUAUUCAUUCAGCAGUUAUAGCAUUUAUGAAUUGUUACAGUUAUAUAUUGCUGGAAAUACAGGCUUUUUUGUAUGAUGUGAUCUUUAAUAAUGCACUAUAAGUACCCAUUGUAUUUCAACUAUUUUAGUUGAGUUUGUUCAAUAAAUAUGAAAACUCUAAGGGUAACUUUACUCAUCUUCGAGGAGUCCUGUCAUUGAAUGUUGUGUCUUGGUACAUCAUUGUUACUUCAUAUGUGCCAAAUCAGGCUAUAGGCAUAAAAAUACCAAAUAAGAAGUCUCAAAGAUAUUGAAUAAAGUCCGUCUCCUUUUUUGUUU